rnacentral:lncRNA from 1 species
AAACAAAAGAUUAAAUGAUCACUGAGCCAUUUUUAAAUUCUGUUCUGGGAGUGAUACUAUUUAAUGACCUUAUUAUCUCCGAGUGAUGGUGGGUAGGGUUAUGUAAAUGUUUUACUCACUUUUGGAAAAUUCUGUACUCCCUUACUCAGAUCUGGAUUAACUUUUGAAUUCCACAUUACCCAUUUUAUGGAUGAAGCUACUGAGAUAUGGAACAAUGGAUUGAACAGUCACCGCCCCAACCCUGGAAUCUCACACAGGACUCUUUCACUCAAAUGACCACAGUGCACAGCUGGUGGUUUGAGAAGCAUAGACUGCUGUCUUCAAAGAAAAGCAGUGGAAAUGAUGACUCCUCUUGAGUUGAUUUCAGGUACCACACACUUCCAUUUUUUUUUUUUAAACCUCUAUGUUCGUUACCAUG